UACGGAGGGCGCGAGCGUUGUUCGGAAUCAUUGGGCGUAAAGCGCGUGUAGGCGGCUUGGUAAGUCGAGUGUGAAAGCCCGGGGCUCAACCCCGGAAGGUCGCUCGAAACUGCCUCGCUAGAGUCCCGGAGAGGAAGGCGGAAGUCCCGGUGUAGAGGUGAAAUUCGUAGAUAUCGGGAGGAACACCAGCGGCGAAGGCGGCCUUCUGGACGGUGACUGACGCUGAGACGCGAAAGCGUGGGGAGCAAACAGG
rnacentral:rRNA from 1 species